rnacentral:lncRNA from 1 species
AGAUGAUUCAUAGACUAGAUAUGACUUAAUAGUCAAUGAGUCCAAAAAGCAUAUUUUUUUUUAUCGGUAAAUUAUUUCUUCUCAUACAUGAUCUAGCCAAAGGAACCAUCUAUAUACUUCAGGUUAUUUGGCUCUGGAUCUCUUAAACCUAAUGGCAUUCACUAUUUGCUCAAAUAAUUUCACAAAUGCAUCACUAUGAAAAUGAUAAAAAAUUAAAUUCAAAUGAUAAUCAUCG